AGGAUAAUAGUUAAAUAUAACGUUUAAUUUGCACUUAAAAAGUAUUGUUCAUCAAUUUAUCUUA
rnacentral:tRNA from 1 species